GCCCUGAGCUCCCUAAGGACUGGGAACCGCACCCCUACGCCCCCAUCACCCCAGAGCCCUGAGCUCCCUAAGGACCGGGAACCACCCCCCUACGCCCCCAUCACCCCAGAGCCCUGAGCUCCCUAAGGACCAGGAAACAUGCCCCCCUACGCCCCCAUCACCCCAGAGCCCUGAGUUCCCUAACGACCAGGAACCACCUCCCCCCCCCGUCAGGACAGGGGGCCCACCAGCUGGCAGAGGACCUUGGCUCUCCCGGGGUGGCUGGAUCGUGGCCGUGCCCCACAGGGACGUUGGCCAACAGCCCCCUCCAGAUUCAGCUGCAGCUCUGAGAGGAUUUAAAUCCCGUCCAGUUGGAUCUGGUUCCUCUGCCUCUAUCGUUCUGACCCACAAAUCCUGCUAAUACCAUGACUUUUUGCCAAGUGAUGAGGGGCUAGAAAGACGAGGGGCGUCCAGCUGCUGUAAGGGCACUGAGAGCCACGUGGGUGCAGACAGAAAGGAAAGGAAUGUGGGCCAUGGCCAGCGGGCGCCAGGCAACCGGAGAGCUGGGUGCGGACACGGGCUUGCUCGCCUGUCAUGUCAGGUAUUUCCAUUAUAGUUUAUCACAAGAUAUUGAACACGUCUUUCCUUGGGAACAACAGGGGACUAGUGACAGGUGGCCCUCGAGGUAAAGAGCCCGCCUGCCAACGCAGAGACGCAAGAGACGAGGGUGUGAUCCCGAGUCGGGAAGAUCCCCUGGAGGAGGGCACGGCGACCCACUCCCGUGUUCCUGCCUGGAGAAUCCCGUGGACAGAGGAGCCUGGCGGGCUGCAGUCCACCAGGUCACAAAGAGUCGGACAUUCCUAGGAACUGGAUUGCUGGGUCAUAUGGUGCUUCUGGUGUGUGUGUGGGCUGGGGGGCAUAUGGGAUCUUAGUUCCCUUACCAGGGAUUGAACUCCCUGCAGUGGAAGCAUGGAGUUUUAACCGCUGGACCACCAGACAAGUCCCUAUUUUUAGUUUUUUAAGGACCCUCCAUACUGUUCUCCAUAGUGGCUGCACCAAUUUACACUCCCACUGACAGUGUAGGAGUGUAAAUUUCCCCAUACCCUCUCCAGCCCUUGUUUGUAGACUUUUUGAGUGUUCUGACCUGUGUGGAGACUUUUGAUUGACAUGUUCCUGUC
rnacentral:lncRNA from 1 species